GACGAACGCUGGCGGCGUGCUUAACACAUGCAAGUCGAGCGGUAAGGCCCUUUCGGGGGUACACGAGCGGCGAACGGGUGAGUAACACGUGGGUGACCUGCCCUUAGCUCUGGGAUAAGCCUGGGGAACUGGGUCUAAUACCGGAUAUGACUCCAUGACGCAUGUUGUGGGGUGGAAAGCCUUGUGCGGCUAGGGAUGGGCCCGCGGCCUAUCAGCUUGUUGGUGGGGUGAUGGCCUACCAAGGCGACGACGGGUAGCCGGCCUGAGAGGGCGACCGGCCACACUGGGACUGAGACACGGCCCAGACUCCUACGGGAGGCAGCAGUGGGGAAUCUUGCGCAAUGGGCGAAAGCCUGACGCAGCGACGCCGCGUGAGGGAUGACGGCCUCGG
rnacentral:rRNA from 1 species